AACCCGAACCCAAGCAAAAAAUACUUGACAGUGGGCAGCAAGCAAAACAUCUGUCCCUCCCGCAUAAACCCUCUUUUCUCUCAUUUUGAAAAAGUGAAUUUUGGUAAUAGAAAGAUGCCAGACACCCAAGCUCUCGUCAAUGAUUUUCUUAACCAGCUCAAAAAACGUAAGAUUGAGGGUUCACAGGCAACAGCAAAGCAGACGGCGGAACUGCUUCGGUCUGUGAUUUCGCAGACACGAGUGCCUUAUACGAACCAGGCUGGAGCUUUGAUUGAUUCUGUCAAGGCCGUUGGAGAACGGUUAAUUGCUGCAAAUCCUGUCGAGCUUGCAGUGGGUAAUAUUGUCAGGCGUGUUUUGCACAUUAUCAGAGAGGAGGAUGUUUCUCUGACAACAGCUGCUAUGGCUGGAUUGAACUUAUCAGCCGUAAGUGACGAUGAAGAUGAUGCUGAUCGAGAUGACCGCCCUGUACUAUCAGCCGCUGCUGUUGCUGCUGCCUCUAGAAGCACCUUGCGUCCACCUUCCUUGCAGACACUACUUGAGGAUGUGCCUGAUUCUGCAGCAGUUCCUCAUACUUCUUCUUCCGGCGGAGAUUCUGAAGGAAAAAGCAAAUCUGCUGACAAAAGUUCAAGAAGCCGGAAGCUGAAGCAUGAUGUCAUUGAAGCAGUCAAUGAGCUUAUUCAAGACAUUAAUACUUGCCAUGAACAGAUUGCUGAGCAAGCAGUAGAGCAUAUACAUCAAAAUGAGGUAAUAUUAACCUUAGGCAGUUCAAGAACCGUGCUGGAAUUUCUUUGUGCUGCAAAAGAGAAGAAAAGAUCAUUUCGGGUAUUUGUUGCGGAGGGUGCUCCAAGGUAUCAGGGGCAUCUUCUUGCAAAAGAGUUGGUCGCAAGAGGUUUACAGACCACACUGAUUACUGACUCUGCAGUUUUUGCCAUGAUUUCUCGAGUAAACAUGGUUAUUGUUGGAGCUCAUGCUGUCAUGGCUAAUGGUGGAGUUAUAGCACCUGUUGGGUUGAACAUGGUUGCACUUGCUGCUCAAAAGCAUGCUGUCCCAUUUGUUGUACUCGCUGGCAGUCACAAGUUAUGCCCCUUGUAUCCACACAAUCCUGAAGUCUUACUGAAUGAGUUGCGGUCCCCAUCUGAGUUGCUGGAUUUUGGAGAAUUCUCAGAUUGCAUGGACUUUGGAAGUGGCAAUGGUGCCCCUCUUCUUCAUGUCGUCAAUCCAACAUUUGACUAUGUGCCACCAAAGCUUGUUAGUCUCUUUAUUACUGACACUGGAGGGCAUAAUCCAUCAUACAUGUACCGGCUCAUUGCAGAUUAUUACUCUGCUGAUGAUCUAGUAGUGCAACGAAGACCUACUUCAGGGAAUUAAGUUUACAAUACUCAGAUAUACUGCUCAACUUUCUGAUUAUUUGUGAUGCCUGUAUGUGGAGAUAUGAAGUUAAAGUCAGAGAUUAUGAAACUGCACCGAGCAUCGUCACUGCUGAAACCAUUGUUAUGACUUUGUGGAAACAAGUUCUGCAAACUUGAGAGAAACGAAAGAAAGCCAUUAUUGUGAUUAUGAAGAAUUAUAGGGCUAGGAAGUAGAAAUGUAGUGGCAGAAACAGCGAAAUCAAGUGAAGGAUGAUGAGGAGAAAGCUAGGAUGGUGUGACAUUUUACCAACAAAAAGAUUUAGAUGAGAUGCAACUUGUAUUGAAGUUAUCUUAUUUGAACCCUACAUUUUGUGAUGAUUUUGAUUACCAAAUGAUCAUGUUGUCGCCUUGACAAGAUCAUAAAAUAUUCUAAAUAGUAUGACCCAUCUUACAUUGAAGUUUAUCCUUAACAGUACAUUGAUUCUAAGUUGAAUCUGUAGACCUUUACAUGUGUUUUUCAUUUGAGCUUUGUAAGUCAA